CCCGGCCAGGUCCGGGCGGGACCUGCAGACAGCCGGGGACUCCCCUGUUUCGCAACAGCCACCAGAAUUGCGGGAGCGGAGCUAGCCGCAGCAGCACUGGUAGGG
rnacentral:SRP_RNA from 11 species